GAAGAAGAAGAUAAUAGUGGUAGGAAAUGGGCAUAAAUUAAAGAAUGGCUAGAUAAAAAGCCGAGUCAGUGGUUUAUGUUGCUCAGGAACUGAGGGCGCUCUGACCCAAGAAGUAAGCGAGUUGGCUAUCGGGUUGGAGAAGUCGAGGUUGCCUUUCUUUUGGGUACUCGAGCUCACCAGGGUCAACUCAUAACGGGUUGGAGAUGCUACCAGAUGGGUU
rnacentral:misc_RNA from 1 species